rnacentral:lncRNA from 1 species
CAUGAGAUCAGAAUUAUAGCUUUAUAAGUCUCCUGACACAUUUGAUGAACUGAGUUGCAGAACACAGUGUAAUGACCUACUUUAAGGACAAACUGUAGUGAGAAAGCAUAUCUCUUUUCCCUGCCUCAUUGUUAUCCUUGCUUCCCUGGAUACACCAUGCAGAUCCUUACACAUUUCCAAGAGUGUGAAACUGAAUGUGAAUGAACCUGGUCAUGGGCAACCAGAAGCUGAGAAGAAACAGAAGUUCAAGAAAGGAUGCUGAAUAGUUUUAAGCUUUCAGAAAUGAUUUACAAAUGUAAUACCUUUGGGACAAGCAAGCAUAGAGAACAUUUUAUAAUUUGCUAAGGUUCAAGCAUCAAGUAAAUGACAUGAAGAAGUGACCCAGUGGAUGACUAUCUCAUUUGAUAACUUAUACUGUGCCUCUCAG